CAGUCGCCGCGGGAAUACAGAGGGUGCGAGCGUUAAUCGGAUUUACUGGGCGUAAAGCGUGCGUAGGCGGCUUUUUAAGUCGGAUGUGAAAUCCCUGAGCUUAACUUAGGAAUUGCAUUCGAUACUGGGAAGCUAGAGCAUGGGAGAGGAUGGUAGAAUUCCAGGUGUAGCGGUGAAAUGCGUAGAGAUCUGGAGGAAUACCGAUGGCGAAGGCAGCCAUCUGGCCUAAUACUGACGCUGAGGUACGAAAGCAUGGGGAGCAAACAGGAUUAGAUACCCCUGUAGUCCCUGUCUCUUAUAC
rnacentral:rRNA from 1 species